AACGCCUAAGUGAGAACAAAAAGAAGGCAUGUCAAGACUGGGGACUCGACCGAGCCCUCGUACCAACUGUGAGCACUGAGGCAGCGGGACUGGGGCGUCCGUGCUGAGGAGGCAGGGGGAUUCAUUCAUUUCACAAAUGUGUUCUUGGUUUUACUGUGUCCUUUUAAUGUUGUCACUCUGUGCCCUAGUGUCCAUGAGAUGACAUGACAGUGAUGUUUCUGAAAUACCACAGGGACUGAAUCCUCCUCACAACAGCUAGAUAUUCUCAUAAAUGGGGAAUAACAAAAUGAAAAACUUUAAUCUUCUCCAUUUGCAGACAAUUUCCACUUUUCUGUGGAUUAAGAGCUUCCUGCUCUACUUAUUUAAUGUGCUUUUACAAUUAAACUUGCUCUCUGCCUCCUGCAGCCCCGUGCAUGUGAGUCCACAACAGUCCUGAUGCUGUGUGGGCCCAGCGUCCAGACAGACUGCUCCUCAAGGCGACCCCCCAUUUCGGAUGCAUCUUCCUGUAGACCUGCACUGAAAUACCCCACAGGUGCCAAUUUCUAGAUACCUCUGGUUUCUAACAAGAAAAGAAAAAAUUAGCUUGAAUUGUAUGACAUGCAUGUUACUGUAGGUCAAAAAUGGUCAAAGAUUAUUCAGCCCAAUGCAAUGUGCUGUAAUAGUUUUGUACGCGGACAUUUAGAAACAUCUGUACUAACACAUACGAGCAUAAAAAGAGCCAAAGAGGAUUUAGUCCAUGAAAGACAGGUGCGCACUUGUCAGGCACCGAGCAGCGCCCGCCCCACAGGGCCGCCUUCUCCCGGGAUGGCGCCUCCACGGCUGUGCAGCUGGCGGGGGCCAUGGCAGGGGACACACAGAACCUGUGGCCACUAUUUUAUGAGACUGAGGCCACUAUUUUAAAAUGUGUUUAUGAACUAGAUGGCUAAUUUCUGAUGAGGAAAAAUGGGUGCAAUAAGCAAACUAUCUUUUCCAAUAAAGUUUUUAUUGAAACUUUUUAAAGGGCUCUCCCUUUAAAAAUUUACAAUUUUUUUCAAAUUGACUACUUCCUGACUACAGUGAGGUGAGUCAUUGAAAGAGGAAGUGGAAAAGGAUGAACUCUGGUCGUGGGAGAUGCCUGACGGUGAACCAGAGACACAAGAAGGGUGGGGUCCCCACGCUCCUCUCCACACAGCUGUCCCCAUGCUGCCUCUCACUCGGCAUCCGAUACCAGCAGCCACACAGAUCUGCUCUUCAUCCUCUCGGACAAUCACUUCCUACAUUCAGCUCAUGGCCUUCGAGAGAGUCCAAAUUAAAGAAGUCCCAGUGAUGACAAUGUACGCUCAGUGAAGUUCAAAAGGAUUUAUUUCUACAAAUGCCACUUUCUCUGUCUCAGAGGCUGGCCUGCACACUACCUUUGAGCUGCUCCUUUUGCUACCCACGGGCAGAGCAAGCCUUGGCGCGCAGGACGACACCUGCAGACUCCCAGACCCGCUUCCUUUGGACUAAGCCUGUCACACUCAAAGUUGACACGGGCCAAGUAGACGAGGCAUGCGGCCCGCGGCCCCACGUUGGACAUGCUUCCUUUAGACUCUUGUCCUUUCCUCAAUGAAGGAAACGUAAGUGCGAAUCCAUAUGCAUCAUCUGUGUGAGGAAGGUGGGCCCCCAACUCGGCUUAAACCUGCUCGGCGAGGCUUCCUUGGGGACGGCUGACAUGCACGUCCUUAAAGGAAAGACCCUUCAGGUCGACAAAGGCCUUUUCCUGCACAAGCCUGACUGACUCAGCUACGGAACCCAAGUCCAUCGGACAGAAAUCUUAAAGAACAAGAAUCUUCUCCUGGCCUGUAAAGCAUUUCUCGUUUCUGUAAAUUCUGUCAUGCCUGCAGAAUGAGGAGUAACUAAUAUUUAAAGAGACAGGACCUCUGGAUUUGGUAACCAGGCACUGGGGACACCAGCCACAUAACAGAACAGCACUCGGGAUUCUUGUCAUUUCUCCUGGCUCAGGGCUUAUUCUGACCUUCCUGUUACGGGAGUAGAAUAUGCCAGCAGGAGUAACUACCUCAGGAUACACUUGAUUUUGGAAGAGAUCUUAGGAUUAAUCUAACUCAAGUUCUUACGUUAUAAAGUCACUCAGCUAAUUACA